UUUAACUGGGGGCGUUGGCGUCAGGUGACUGUCGGGCACCAAUUGCCCAUUGUGCUCUGUUUUAAAAGUUGGCACCUGUUGCUGGAGGUAGGAGGCAUGCUACCGCUUGUGGCGGUUUUAGUUAAGAUGGUUGUUUGCCAGCUUUAGUCAACCAUAGGACUUGGCACUUCGCCUUAAUAUGGCAAUUUGCGCGUGGUGCGCAUUGGUCACUGUGGUGUGACUCGUAAAAGACGUUGUGGUUGUGAGCGUCCUUUCAAGCGCUGGCUAUCCCCUGCCCUUUGUCAUGGAAAUUGUGUGGGUCUCGUGAAUGACUUCUCCUCCUGCCGUGCGUGAACGUGCCCAUCUGUCUUGGUGCCGUGGGUCUCCACUUGGGGCUGUCCGCGGGCUGCUGCUUCGCCCUGUAGUUGCCGUAGAGGAUAUUUAGUGCUUGUGUGUGUGUGUGUGUGCAGGUGUGCGUGACAUUUUUCAUUUGCUUUGUCCAG